rnacentral:rRNA from 1 species
UGGGGAAUAUUGCACAAUGGGCGCAAGCCUGAUGCAGCCAUGCCGCGUGUAUGAAGAAGGCCUUGGUUGUAAAGUACUUUCAGCGGGGAGGAAGGCGAUAAGGUUAAUAACCUUGUCGAUUGACGUUACCCGCAGAAGAAGCACCGGCUAACUCCGUGCUAG